UGCUCCCGGCCGCAUGGUGCAAGCAGGAAUUCGAUUCCGAAUUCUUUCCCAACAGAGUUUGAUCCUGGCUCAGAUUGAACGCUGGCGGCAGGCCUAACUCAUGCCCGUCGAGCGGAUGAUGGGAGCUUGCUCCCGGAUUCAGCGGCGGACGGGUGGGUAAUGCCUAGGAAUCUGCCUGGUAGUGGGGGACAACGUUUCGAAAGGAACGCUAAUACCGCAUACGUCCUACGGGAGAAAGCAGGGGACCUUCGGGCCUUGCGCUAUCAGAUGAGCCUAGGUCGGAUUAGCUAGUUGGUGGGGUAAAGGCCUACCAAGGCGACGAUCCGUAACUGGUCUGAGAGGAUGAUCAGUCACACUGGAACUGAGACACGGUCCAGACUCCUACGGGAGGCAGCAGUGGGGAAUAUUGGACAAUGGGCGAAAGCCUGAUCCAGCCAUGCCGCGUGUGUGAAGAAGGUCUUCGGAUUGUAAAGCACUUUAAGUUGGGAGGAAGGGCAGUAAGUUAAUACCUUGCUGUUUUGACGUUACCAACAGAAUAAGCACCGGCUAACUUCGUGCCAGCAGCCGCGGUAAUACGAAGGGUGCAAGCGUUAAUCGGAAUUACUGGGCGUAAAGCGCGCGUAGGUGGUUUGGUAAGAUGGAUGUGAAAUCCCCGGGCUCAACCUGGGAACUGCAUCCAUAACUGCCUGACUAGAGUACGG
rnacentral:rRNA from 1 species